UACGGGGGGCAAGGCGUUGUUCGGAAUUAUCGUGGGCGUAAAGGGCUCGUAGGUGGCCAACUAAGUCGGACGUGAAAUCCCUCAGCUUAACUGGGGAACUGCGUCCGAUACUGGAUGGCUCGAGUUUGGGAGAGGGAUGCGGAAUUCCAGGUGUAGCGGUGAAAUGCGUAGAUAUCUGGAGGAACACCGGUGGCCGAAGGCGGCAAUCCUGGACCAACACUGGACACUGAGGAGCGAAAGCCAGGGAGCAAACGGG
rnacentral:rRNA from 1 species